CCUACGGGGGGCAGCAGUGAGGAAUAUUGGUCAAUGGACGAGAGUCUGAACCAGCCAAGUAGCGUGAAGGAUGACUGCCCUAUGGGUUGUAAACUUCUUUUAUAUGGGAAUAAAAUGUUCCACGUGUGGGAUUUUGUAUGUACCAUAUGAAUAAGGAUCGGCUAACUCCGUGCCAGCAGCCGCGGUAAUACGGAGGAUCCGAGCGUUAUCCGGAUUUAUUGGGUUUAAAGGGAGCGUAGGUGGAUUGUUAAGUCAGUUGUGAAAGUUUGCGGCUCAACCGUAACAUUGCAGUUGAAACUGGCAGUCUUGAGUACAGAAGAGGUGGGCGGAAUUCGUGGUGUAGCGGUGAAAUGCUUAGAUAUCACGAAGAACUCCGAUUGCGAAGGCAGCUCGCUGGACUGCAACUGACACUGAGGCUCGAAAGUGUGGGUAUCAAACAGGAUUAGAUACCCGAGUAGUC
rnacentral:rRNA from 1 species